AACCUUAUCAUUUAGAGGAAGGAGAAGUCGUAACAAGGUUUCCGUAGGUGAACCUGCGGAAGGAUCAUUGUCGAAACCUGCCGAGCAGAACGACCCGCGAACUCGUUUCACGCUCCGGGGGGCUGCGAGCCUCGCGGUCGCCCGACGUCGUCGGGGCGGGAGCUCCCGCUCCUCGCUCCGGCGGCCGAACAACGAACCCCGGCGCGGAAUGCGCCAAGGAAAUCGAACGAGAGAGCUUGCUCCCGUCGCCCCGGGAACGGAGCGCGCGUCGGGAGCGUCGCCUUCUUUCAUUAUCCAUAACGACUCUCGGCAACGGAUAUCUCGGCUCUCGCAUCGAUGAAGAACGUAGCGAAAUGCGAUACUUGGUGUGAAUUGCAGAAUCCCGUGAACCAUCGAGUCUUUGAACGCAAGUUGCGCCCCAAGCCUCUAGGCCGAGGGCACGUCUGCCUGGGCGUCACGCAUCGUCGCCCCCUCCACCCCGCGCCUCGGACGAGGCGGGGGGAUGCGUUAUCGGGGGCGGAUAUUGGCCUCCCGUGCGGUGCAUAUCCCGCGGUCGGCCCAAAUACGAGUGCUCGGCGACGGACGCCGCGACGUUCGGUGGUGGAAAAACCUCGAGCUCGCGUCGCGCGUGCGCGGUCGGCGUAAGGCUCUCGACCCUGAAGCGUCACGCAUCGCGACCCCAGGUCAGGCGGGAUCACCCGCUGAGUUUAAGCAUAUC
rnacentral:misc_RNA from 1 species